AACAGCCUCUGGUCGAUG
rnacentral:snRNA from 1 species